AGCUUUGCUCAGUGGCAGUAUCGUAGCCAAUGAGGUUUCUCCGAGGCGCAAUUAUUGCUAAUUGAAAACUUUUCCCAAUACCCCGCCAUGAUGACUUGAAAUAUAGUCAGCAUUGGCAAUUUUUGAGUUUCUACGGAGA
ensembl:snRNA U4 U4 spliceosomal RNA